CCUAAAAUAAUCAAUAGAGGGUUCUUACUGCCGCCAUGUCCCAGCCUCUGUAGGAAACUGAACUCUUCAGGGAAUAGAUGUGAAAUUGGACAAUUUGUCUAACAAGGAGUCUGGGGAAUUGAGUUCUAUUGGCACAGAAAUUACAAAUAUUCCCCCAGUUCCUACAGUUUGUCUUCUACCCCAGCUUUUCUUCUUCUUCGGGUCAGGAGGAUAUCUACUUAUGCACCUAUGAGGCAUCCUUCUGACUCCAAGGUCUAACUUCAUCACCAGGGAGGACACUGGGACAAGUUUGACUCAUGCCUUUGAUGAUACCAAGAGAAAAAAAUGGUCCGUCCGUCAUCCUUCACAUCAGCGGAUGCUGCCAAAUGCUGGUCGAGACUGGACAACGCUGAGCACUAGAUCGGCCACUUUCCACGUGUUACUUCACUUCAUCUUCUGAGAAAACCUGAAGGUUGAAAAAAGUCCUCAAAGGAAAAUGUUUUGCUGAUGUGGAAGUGGUG